rnacentral:rRNA from 1 species
AUUGAACGCUGGCGGCAGGCCUAACACAUGCAAGUCGAACGGUAACAGGAAGAAGCUUGCUUCUUUGCUGACGAGUGGCGGACGGGUGAGUAAUGUCUGGGAAACUGCCUGAUGGAGGGGGAUAACUACCGGAAACGGUAGCUAAUACCGCAUAACGUCGCAAGACCAAAGAGGGGGACCUUCGGGCCUCUUGCCAUCGGAUGUGCCCAGAUGGGAUUAGCUAGUGGGGGGGGUAAUGGCUAACCUAGGCGACGAUCCCUAGCUGGUGUGAGAGGAUGACCAGCCACACUGGAACUGAGACACGGUCCAGACUCCUACGGGAGGCAGCAGUGGGGAAUAUUGCACAAUGGGCGCAAGCCUGAUGCAGCCAUGCCGCGUGUAUGAAGAAGGCCUUCGGGUUGUAAAGUACUUUCAGCGGGGAGGAAGGGAGUAAAGUUAAUACCUUUGCUCAUUGACGUUACCCGCAGAAGAAGCACCGGCUAACUCCGUGCCAGCAGCCGCGGUAA